rnacentral:rRNA from 1 species
AUUGAACGCUGGCGGCAGGCCUAACACAUGCAAGUCGAACGGUAGCACAGAGAGCUUGCUCUCGGGUGACGAGUGGCGGACGGGUGAGUAACGUCUGGGAAACUGCCCGAUGGAGGGGGAUAACUACCGGAAACGGUAGCUAAUACCGCAUAACGUCGCAAGACCAAAGUGGGGGACCUUCGGGCCUCACACCAUCGGAUGUGCCCAGAUGGGAUUAGCUAGUAGGUGGGGUAAUGGCUCACCUAGGCGACGAUCCCUAGCUGGUCUGAGAGGAUGACCAGCCACACUGGAACUGAGACACGGUCCAGACUCCUACGAGAGGCAGCAGUGGGGAGUAUUGCACAAUGGGCGCAAGCCUGAUGCAGCCAUGCCGCGUGUAUGAAGAAGGCCUUCGGGUCGUAAAGUACUUUCAGCGGGGAGGAAGGCGGUGAAGUUAAUAGCUUAACCGAUUGACGUUACCCGCAGAAGAAGCACCGGCUAACUCCGUGCCAGCAGCCGCCGUAA